CAGAUCUUGGUGGUAGUAGCAAGUACUCAAUUGAAAACCUUGAGCACUGAAGUUGGGGAUGGGUUCCAUGUGAACAGUAGUUGAUCGUGGGUCAGUCGGUCCUAAGCUUAUGAUGAAACAUGUGUUGAAUGUGUAUAAUAAUGUGUUAUCACUAUAAGCGAAAGGGAAUCAGGCUAACAUUCCUGAACCUGCACACCGGGAGCGCUACUUUGUAGCAGCCGUGGCAACACAAAUGCGCUCAAAAACACCAAGGCAUAGGCUAGGAAGAGUUCUCUUUUCUUUUUAAGUCACUUGUGCCCAUGGAAUGAAGUAGAUUCGAGAUAUGGGUAAGGGUGACAUAAAGCUGCUCAUAUUAGAGUAGUUUAGUUGAUUCCCUUGGUCCUUGAAAAUUUGAGCGUGAUGCUUAUCUUGGUGGCAGUCCGUACUAGUAUCCGCAGCAGGUCUCCAAGG
rnacentral:rRNA from 1 species